rnacentral:rRNA from 1 species
UACGUAGGGCGCAAGCGUUAUCCGGAAUUAUUGGGCGUAAAGAGCUCGUAGGCGGUUUGUCGCGUCGUCCGUGAAAACUCACAGCUUAACUGUGAGCUUGCGGUCGAUACGGGCAGGCUAGAGUUCGGUAGGGGAGACUGGAAUUCCUGGUGUAGCGGUGAAAUGCGCAGAUAUCAGGAGGAACACCGGUGGCGAAGGCGGGUCUCUGGGCCGAUACUGACGCUGAGGAGCGAAAGCGUGGGGAGCGAACAGG